UACAGAGGGUGCGAGCGUUGUCCGGAAUCACUGGGCGUAAAGGGCGCGUAGGUGGCGACCCAAGUCGAUGGUGAAAGCUCGCCGCUCAACGGCGAGUCGGCCACCGAUACUGGGUUGCUCGAGCACUGUAGAGGCUAAUGGAAUUCCGGGUGUAGCGGUGGAAUGCGUAGAGAUCCGGAGGAACACCGGUGGCGAAGGCGGUUAGCUGGGCAGUUGCUGACACUGAGGCGCGACAGCGUGGGGAGCAAACAGG
rnacentral:rRNA from 1 species